rnacentral:rRNA from 1 species
CCGAUAGCGUAUAUUAAAGUUGUUGCAGUUAAAAAGCUCGUAGUUGAAUUUCGGGAUCAAUGGGUUGGUCAUGCCCUCGGUAUGUACUGAUUUCAUUGGUUCUCACCUUCUAAGGAACCAUGAUGUCAUUCGUUUGAUGUUGUGGGGAAUUAGGACUGUUACCUUGAAAAAAUUAGAGUGUUUAAAGCAGGCUAACGCUUGAAUACAUUAGCGUGGAAUAAUGAAAUAGGACAUCCGAUUCUAUUUUGUUGGUUUCUAGGAUCGAUGUAAUGAUUAAUAGGGAUAGUUGGUGGCAUUAGUAUUCAAUUGUCAGAGGUAAAAUUCUUUGAUUUAUUGAAGACUAACUACUGCGAAAGCAUUUGCCAAGGAUGUUUACAUUAAUCAAGAACGAAAGUUAGGGGAUCGAAGACGAUCAGAUACCGUCGUAGUCUUAACCAUAAACUAUGCCGACUAGGGAUCGGAUGAUGCUUAUUUUUUAAUGACUCAUUCGGCACCUUACG